rnacentral:lncRNA from 1 species
ACCACUGAGGUUAUGAAGAACCAAUCAGAGAUGAAGAACACAAUAAAUUAAAAAUACAUCGAUGGAGGGGAUCCCUGGGUGGCUCAGUGGUUUAGCGCCUGCCUUCGGCCCAGGGAGUGAUCUAGGAGUCCCAGGAUCAAGUCCCACGUCAGGCUCCCUGCACAGAGCCUGCUUCUCCUUCUGCCUGUGUCUCUGCCUCUCUCUCUCUCUCUCUCUCUGUCAUGAAUAAAUAAAUAAAAUCUUUUUAAAAUAAAUACAUUGAUGGAAUAAAUAGGCUAGAUGACACAGAGGAAUGUAUUAAUGACCUGGAAGACAGUAAUGGAAAGUAAUUAGCUGAGCAAAUGAGAGGUGAAUUUUUAUUUUUAAAGAUUUUUAUUUAUUCAUGAGAGAGAGAGAGGCAGAGACACAGGCAAAGGGAGAAGCAGGUUCCAUGCAGGGAGCCUGAUGUGGGACUCCAUCCCAGGUCUCCAGGAUCAGGCCCUGGGCUGAAGGCGGCGCUAAAGCGCUGAGCCACCCGGGCUGCCCAAGAGGGGAAAAUUAUGUAAAUUGAAGAUAGGGAACUCUGACUCCAUCAAGCAUAAUAACAUUUGCAUUAAAGAGAUCCCAGAAGAGAGAAAAAGGGCAAAAAAAAAAUUAUUUUAAAGAAAUAAUAGCUGAAAACUACCUUUUUUGUGGGAGAAGGAAACCGAUCCAGAAGGCACAAGAGCACUCCAAAAUUCAGCCCAAGGACAUCUACACCAAUAUACAUAGUUCUUAAGAUGGAGGAAAGUAGUGACAAAAUAUUUUAAAUGAAUCAAAAAGAAAAUGUAUGAUAUUUAAAAAUUGUAUCUGGAAAAGGAAACUAGAAAAAAAUUCAGAGAAACAGUUGAAAUGCAGAAAUAUAUAUCACUGCAUUCCACAGCAUUAUUUUGGUAGUAUCUUACUGCAGCUGGCUCCUGGCAUUCCCUCAGCCAUCGAUCUGAGGUUGGGUUAUUUUUGGGAUCUUGAUUUCAUGUUCCAUUGGUUUAUAUAGUAGAAAUUCGAUUCUAUUUUGUGAUUUUUCUCACAUGGCAGACUGAAACAAUUUUAAUUUUGCAAUAACUGGCUACUGCACACAGCUUAAUUGAAUUUUCUCAAUGUUAAGGCAAGGGUUCAAAGUAACAUUAAAAGAGAUUUAGUAAUGAUAAAAAUUUUCUUAGUUUUGAGUUCAUCAUUGAUUUUUAAAUUUCUGCAUUUCCAUGUAAUCUUUGAUAUGAUUGUUUUCUAAUUUGUAGCAUUUUUUAAAAAUCAAACUUCUCUGGUAGAAGCUAUGCCAAUUUUUUUAAUAUAUAUAUAUAUAUAUAUUUUUUUUUUUUGCUAUGUGAAAUUUGAAGGACAGCUUCCCAUAUUCUUCCCUCAUCCUCAUGAAAUAAAUAGAAAAAUCUGGGAUUUGGUGGUUUCAUCAAAUAUAUUAAAUACUACUGCAGAAAUGGCAGUUAUAUGUUUUUCUUCUUGAUGACAAUAUACAUCUUUUGAAAAGCAGUAUAUAACAGAAUGUGAAAUGUGUAACUCUGAUCUGGAAAAAAACACUAGGAAUAUAUGAUGAUGAAGUUCAAACAAUGAAAAGAUGAGUACGCAUCAAUAAAGUUACAAUUUUUAAAAUGGAAAUGAUGAGUGUUCACCGAUAAGGAUUUCUUUAAAUUUCAUAUGUUCCCAUAGUAUCAUGGGACUGUUUAAAUAAUGUCAGGGACAUGUAAUAUCAGGAGAACAUAAUACAGGCUUUGUGAAAUCAGACCAUAGCCUUCCUAGUAUAAUAAAAUUCAUAAAUCUCUGU